UGGCGGACGGGUGAGUAAUGUCUGGGAAACUGCCUGAUGGAGGGGGAUAACUACUGGAAACGGUAGCUAAUACCGCAUAACGUCGCAAGACCAAAGAGGGGGACCUUCGGGCCUCUUGCCAUCGGAUGAACCCAUAUGGGAUUAGCUAGUAGGUAAGGUAACGGCUUACCUAGGCGACGAUCCCUAGCUGGUCUGAGAGGAUGAUCAGCCACACUGGGACUGAGACACGGCCCAG
rnacentral:rRNA from 1 species